AUUGAACGCUGGCGGCAGGCUUAACACAUGCAAGUCGAGCGGAGCGAGGGUGCUUGCACCUUAGCUUAGCGGCGGACGGGUGAGUAAUGCUUAGGAAUCUGCCUAUUAGUGGGGGACAACAUUCCGAAAGGAAUGCUAAUACCGCAUACGCCCUACGGGGGAAAGCAGGGGAUCUUCGGACCUUGCGCUAAUAGAUGAGCCUAAGUCGGAUUAGCUAGUUGGUGGGGUAAAGGCCUACCAAGGCGACGAUCUGUAGCGGGUCUGAGAGGAUGAUCCGCCACACUGGGACUGAGACACGGCCCAGACUCCUACGGGAAGCAGCAGUGGGGAAUAUUGGACAAUGGGCGGAAGCCUGAUCCAGCCAUGCCGCGUGUGUGAAGAAGGCCUUUUGGUUGUAAAGCACUUUAAGCGAGGAGGAGGCUACUUAGAUUAAUACUCUGGGAUAGUGGACGUUACUCGCAGAAUAAGCACCGGCUAACUCUGUGCCAGCCGCCGCCGCAGUAAGAC
rnacentral:rRNA from 1 species